rnacentral:lncRNA from 1 species
GCGGCUAGCACGGGCGCUGGCACACCACUGAGCGAGAGCGGAGGCGGAAUCGACGGAGGCGUGGCAGAAGCCGAAUCGACGGAGGCCGACGAACAGGGGCGGGGCGGAGAGGGAGGAGACAGGGAGGCCGGUGACUUAUUGUACUCCUCCUCUUUACCGUCGCUCUCUUCUCUCUCCACCGGCAAGCGCAACAAGACGGGGAGGGCGGAGAGGGAUGUGAGGGGGGAGGGCAAGGGGGGCAUCUCCUUCCUUCUUUGCAUCUGCUGUCUUCGCGGCACAGUCGUCGUAGAAAGAAGCAGCGGUGAUGGAGUAAAGGGGAUGGAAACGGGGGAGCUGGACCACGGCAGAGGAGGCGAAGCGGAUAGGAUUGGACGGGGAGGGCGGCCGGGGCGGCGGAUGAAUCAAGCAUCACCAGGGAAGUCUGAAGAACAACCUGAGGAAACUGAAGAAAUGGAAGGGGCCGACAAGGCUGAUGACGCGCUACAGAAAGCAUCAGAGCAGGAGGCGGACAUGGGCCGUGGGCGUCGCAGCAGACGUCCCCCCAGUGUGCGUGUUGUUGGGCCGGAAUGGGCUAAAUGA